UACGAAGGGGGCUAGCGUUGCUCGGAAUCACUGGGCGUAAAGCGCACGUAGGCGGAUCUUUAAGUCAGGGGUGAAAUCCCAAGGCUCAACCUUGGAACUGCCUUUGAUACUGGGGAUCUCGAGUCCGGAAGAGGUGAGUGGAACUGCGAGUGUAGAGGUGAAAUUCGUAGAUAUUCGCAAGAACACCAGUGGCGAAGGCGGCUCACUGGUCCGGUACUGAUGCUGAGGUGCGAAAGCGUGGGGAGCGAACAGG
rnacentral:rRNA from 1 species